rnacentral:rRNA from 1 species
UACGUAGGGGGCAAGCGUUAUCCGGAUUUACUGGGUGUAAAGGGCGUGCAGCCGGAGAGGCAAGUCAGAUGUGAAAUCCACGGGCUCAACCCGUGAACUGCAUUUGAAACUGUUUCCCUUGAGUGUCGGAGAGGUAAUCGGAAUUCCUUGUGUAGCGGUGAAAUGCGUAGAUAUAAGGAAGAACACCAGUGGCGAAGGCGGAUUACUGGACGAUAACUGACGGUGAGGCGCGAAAGCGUGGGGAGCAAACAGG